rnacentral:lncRNA from 1 species
CACUUGUUCGAGUGCUCCAGAUAAGGUAUCCAUUUAGCUAAAGACUUCUCUUUCUUUUGUCUUAAAUGUGAACUUACUGAACUGUGGCCUGUAGGAUAUUCCUGUUCUCUCGACCAUCCCUGAGCAGACUAACGUUGCCACUACUCAAGAUCUCCCUCAUAAUGCUGAGCCCAUUACUGAUGAGAAGAAGAAAAAGAAGAAGAAGAAGAAAGAACACCAACCCAACCAAGAAG